rnacentral:lncRNA from 1 species
CCUCGAUUCUUCCUAUCCCACAUCGAUUGAAGCUCAAGAUUGAGCCCCCACCAUUCAGUUCUAUAAAAAUCUCCUUGUAGAUCCAAAAUACGAGGUCUCAAGAGAGUUAAAAAAACCUUUUGAGCAAAAGAGUAGAACUGUUUUGAGUAAAAACUUUUGGAAGAUAGUCGGCUAAUUGAACUUCUCAAAAAUUUCUUUUCGGUGGUGGUCGAGAUUAUGUUGAAGGCUUAAAGUCCUGAUUUGCUACUCCAAAAUAGGUAAUACUUUAUCCCAUUUAGUUUCAAUUUUAUUUCUUCUUCAUCUCGUUGUUCUAUAAUCUCAUUUGCUGGGAUUGUUUGCUGUAGAAAGCCUAGAAGGCCAUAGGAUUUUUUGUGAUUAUUGUAUUAUUUCGUCGAGUCAAUAUUCUCGCUAUAGUGAUUUGGCUUAUUGUUUAUCUCUGUAGUUCUCGAUUAACUUUUUGUUUAUCCAUGAUUUCAUUAUCAAUGUUAACAUCUUAUAUUUGUGAUUUGUUAAAUAGAGAAUUGGUGUUUAUGUUUGAAUUGUGUUCAUACUUGUUCCAUAGAGAAUUGGCAUUUUCAGUUUAUUAAAUAGAGAAUUGGCGUUUACAGUUUGUUAAAUAGAGAAUUGGAGCUUCCAGUUUGUUAACCUCGUUAUUGCGAUACGUCCAUAGCGUCAUGUUUCUACCUGGAAUGUGAAUUUGGUGCUCAUUUAUUUUUUGGCAGCGCCAUUCUUUUUAAAUAUCAUUUUUUCCUAGUAACAGCUUGGUGUGAUUGGUCUUUUCAGUUAUCAUGUUCUUUGUCAUGUGUUAACUAAAAUAUAAGUCAAUUAGUUACUUUAGUGAUAUUUGAUGAAGUAGUAAAAAGGGUUCGUUCAAGUUAGAUUUUAAACCUUAAAGACCAUGUUAUUUUCCUAAUAUAUCUAUUGUAUGCAAAUUGUUCUUAAUUAUUUUAUUAUUGUCUCAACACAUGUAUUAGGAGCUUAAUAAUAUGUCUAAUUCUCACCCUUGUUGUGAAUCCCAUUAUUCGAGCUAGAUCCCUCGAUUUAGUCUCAUAAAACGUUUAAUCAAUUUCUGUCAAUGGAGCAUUAGUCUGCUUGGCUCAAUUUUAUUUGAAUAAGAAGUACUUGACUUAGCUUUUGCAUAGUAAUAAUAGGUGUCAUUAUUUUGCGAAUUAGUAGAUUGAAAUUAUCCCAAAAAUUCUCUCAAGCUCAGGACUUUUUUUUUGUUUUUCUUCCUUUAUGACUUGAAUGAUGUCUUCGACCUCAUCUAUUAUGGUUUCGAUGACUUGAGUUCCUCUUUGCUCCCAUGCUCUUAUGCGCUAGAGUUUGUUUCAAGUUGAUUAGAAAUGUGCCAUUUUAUUUGCCUUUACUUUGAAUCUGCUCCUAUGCCCUAAGAUACUAUUUUUCUUUCAUUAAAGUUAAAGUAUGAGAAUCUUUGAAAUUUAUUAUGUCGUGUUAAUUUAUUCCUCUAAGAUUGCAUAUGAGUUCUCUUUGCAAGAACGAUUGCAACUUGUCACAUCCCGAAUGUCCUUUUUAUGAGUUCUUUUGGAAUUUUGAUUGCAUUAACAUUCUAAAAGAGUUUGAAACAACCAUGUUUUGAUCCUUAGAAAUUAUAGUAUUUAUUUCUUCUUUCUUAGAAAUUUUAGUCUUGAUGUAUUCUUUUGGACGAUUAGGGAUGUUAAUUUUCUUGACUAUCAUUUAGCUCAAGUGAUUUAUUUUAAUAAAUGUGUGUGUUUAGUUUAUAAGAUUAGCGGUUAAAUGAGUGUUUCCUAGCUGGAUGGAUUCUAAUAUUUCUCCUUUUCCUUCUUGUUUGACAUGUAAAAUACCGAGGAAAAAAAUUGACUCUUCCUAUGUGCAUUAUUAUAAUAGGCCAACGUGGUUCAUUUUUCUUCCGAGUCAUCCCCUCGAGCCUAUCAAAUUAGCUCGAUUUUUGGAGAAAGAAGUUUUCAUCGAUGGAAGAAAAUGGGUCAAAAUCUCUUGAUGAAGUUGCGAGGAUUUGGAAACUUGAAAAGUCUCGGUUCUUUGUUAUUGUUGUAUUUUUAUUUAUUUAUUUGGGUUUCAGAGCCAAAGUUGUAAUUUAAUACAGGUAAAACAGACUUUGGACCUCAAAGGUCUGAAAAGAUAUUUUAGAACAGGUUAUGGACAAAAAGUCAAAUGAGUAGAUUAGGACAGGUGAAGAUGGGUCAAAAACCCAAAUGAUUAGACUAGUACAGGUGCAAGUGAGCCAAAAUUCCAAAUGAUUAGAUUAGGACAGGUUAUGGGCUGAAAAUCCAAUUAAAUUAGGAUAGUUUUAAGGAAAAAUUACACAAAUCACAUAUUUAAGACACCAUAUUACCUAAUAUCCCUUAAUAUUUUAAAAAUUACAUAAAAUCCCUAUUUGCAUAUUUACUGGUGAUACAUAUGCUAUAACUUGCACACCCUAUUUUAUCUCCUCUUUUCACGCCAUCUCUCUCUUCCUUUUACGCAUCAUCCUUUUUUUUCCUCGCAAGUUACUCCCCUAAAAUCUCUCUAAUUUUACUAGGUUUUGAGUCAACUUCAUUCUCCAAUACUUCAACUGAUUUCAACCGAUCGUUCAUCCUUUAAUUUUAAAAAUUAAAAACUUAUUCAAAGAGGUUAGCUUUUGGUUUAUGCUUUAAAAUCCUUUUGUGUUAAUUUAUUUUAUCUUCAGUGGCUAAUGAAGAUUCACCCUUAUUCAGCUUGGGGAUUUCACAAAUUGAAACACAAAAAGUUGUUCAUGAUAGUAAUCAAGUCUUGAGUUUUACUCCAGACAAUUUUAAUUACACCAAAUUAGGGUUUAGUGAAAAUCAAUCAAAGCAGCGAAACGGUCCUGAAAAAUUAAAAAUUUUAAGAGAAGCUUUUGCUAUAAAAAAUCAAGUUUUCGACAUGCAAAUGGAAGAUCGGAAUGAAAUUGAACAAAUUCUCAAAUCCCUGUCGGAGCAGGGUUUUUUUUCACAGCUAAUUCAUAAAUGGUGAUU